UACCAGCACCCCCGAGUGGUCGGGGACGAUUAUUGGGCCUAAAGCAUCCGUAGCCGGUCCUGCAAGUCUUCCGUUAAAUCCAGCUGCUCAACAGAUGGGCUGCGGGGGAUACUACAGGGCUAGGAGGCGGGAGAGGCAAGCGGUACUUUAUGGGUAGGGGUAAAAUCCGUUGAUCCAUAGAAGACCACCAGUGGCGAAGGCGGCUUGCCAGAACGCGCUCGACGGUGAGGGAUGAAAGCUGGGGGGAGCAAACCGG
rnacentral:rRNA from 1 species